rnacentral:lncRNA from 1 species
AAAAAUCCAACAAAUACAAGAAGAUAUCUAGAAGCAUCAUCAAUGAAGAUUCACAUGAUUCAUGGAGAAACUCAUCAUAAUAUCAUUUAUCCUACUAUCAAUUCCAUUGUUUAUCCAACCCUAACUUCUAAAUAUGAAAUUCUAACUAGAACCCACCUUAGGAAUGGAAGAGGAGGUUGAAGAAGAUGAUGAGAUGAGAUGGUGAUGAAGUGAUGAUGAUGGAUUCCAAGUUUUUGUCCUCCUUCUUC